rnacentral:rRNA from 1 species
GAUGAACGCUGGCGGCGUGCCUAAUACAUGCAAGUCGAGCGAACAGAUGAGGAGCUUGCUCCUCUGACGUUAGCGGAGGACGGGUGAGUAACACGUGGAUCACCUACCUAUAAGACUGGGAUCACUUCGGGAAACCGGAGCUAAUACCGGAUAAUCUAUUGAACCGCAUGGUUCAAUAGUGAAAGACGGUUUUGCUGUCACUUAUAGCUGGAUCUGGGCCGCAUUAGCUAGUUGGUAAGGUAACGGCUUUCCAAGGCAACGAUGCGUAGCCGACCUGCGAGAGGGGUCGGCCACACUGGAGCGGAGACAGGGUCAAGACUCCUACGAGAGGGAGCAGACGGGAACCUUCCGCAAUGGGGGAAAGCCUGACAGAGCGGCGCCGCGUGAGAUAUGACAGUCUCCGGAGCGUAAAACUCUGUUAUUAGGGAAGAACAAAUUUGUAAGGAACUAUGCACGUCUUGACGGUACCGAAUCAGAAAGCCACGGCUAACUACGUG